rnacentral:misc_RNA from 1 species
AAGUCGUAACAAGGUUUCCGUAGGUGAACCUGCGGAAGGAUCAUUAACACGUAUCCAACGUUAAACCCCCUGUGAACCUUCAUUGUACGAGUUACAUCCACGUCAUAAACCGGCAAUCUCUGGUAAAUCAUCGCCGAACUUUGAUUCAGAGACCUCUGGGAAGGGUGUACGGUAGCAAUUGACCUGGCAUUUGUACGGAUGGCGCAGUAACGAUCGCUGGAGGCCGACACGGCCGGCGACCAGGUCACUGGGCUACGGCCCCCCUGAUCACAACCUUUGCAUGAAAACGGGCCUGCGCUGAGGUGCGGCCACCCCUAAUGCUUGAACAACUGUUAACAAUGGAUAUCUUGGUUCUC